AUUGAACGCUGGCGGCAGGCUUAACACAUGCAAGUCGAGCGAGCGGCGGACGGGUGAGUAAUGUCUGGGAAACUGCCUGAUGGCGGGGGAUAACUACUGGAAACGGUAGCUAAUACCGCAUACCAUCAGAUGUGCCGAGAUGGGAUUAGCUAGUAGGUGGGGUAAUGGCUCACCUAGGCGACGAUCCCUAGCUGGUCUGAGAGGAUGACCAGCCACACUGGGACUGAGACACGGUCCAGACUCCUACGGGAGGCAGCAGUGGGGAAUAUUGGACAAUGGGCGCAAGCCUGAUGCAGCCAUGCCGCGUGUGUGAAGAAGGCCUUCGGGUUGUAAAGUACUUUCAGCGGGGAGGCGGUACUCGCAGAAGAAGCACCGGCUAACUACGUGCCAGCAGCCGCGGUAAUAC
rnacentral:rRNA from 1 species